rnacentral:lncRNA from 1 species
AUGGCCACUGCCACUCCUGGUGGUGUUUCUUCUGUCGCACAGGGGAGAGGUAGGUUUGUCACUCCCAUGCCGCCCAGGAAAGAAACUAAGGAUCCAGUUGAUCCCAGAGCUGGCAGCAUUCCCUUAACAGUGAUGUUUGGCUGGAUCAGUCUCAAGUUCUCUCUGGCUCCACAACAUCCAGGAGCAGGAAAGGACCCAGCACGUCAUCCCUGUGAGAGGAGACAUCCCCCAGCCAGACUACAAGCCUAG